rnacentral:rRNA from 1 species
UGGGGAAUCUUGCACAAUGGAGGAAACUCUGAUGCAGCGACGCCGCGUGAGCGAUGAAGCCCUUCGGGGUGUAAAGCUCUUUCGACGGGAACGAUAAUGACGGUACCCGAAGAAGAAGCUGCGGCUAACUACGUGCCAGCAGCCGCGGUAAUACGUAGGGGGCCAGCGUUGCUCGGAAUUACUGGGCGUAAAGGGUUCGUAGGCGGUGCGGCAAGUCGGGAGUGAAAUCUCUGGGCUUAACUCAGAGGCUGUUUCCGAAACUGCCGUGCUUGAGUGCGGGAGAGGCGAGUGGAAUUACAGGUGUAGCGGUGAAAUGCGUAGAUAUCUGUAGGAACACCCGUGGCGAAGGCGGCUCGCUGGACCGCAACUGACGCUGAGGAACGAAAGCUAGGGGAGCAAACAGGAUUAGAUACCCUGGUAGUCCUAGCCCUAAACGAUGUCAACUGGUUGUUGGGAAGGUUCCUUCUCAGUAACGUAGCUAACGCGUGAAGUUGACCGCCUGGGGAGUACGGCCGCAAGGU